AGGAAUUUUGCGCAAUGGGGGCAACCCUGACGCAGCAACGCCGCGUGAGUGAAGAAGGCCUUUGGGUCGUAAAGCUCUGUCAACCGGGAAGAAGUUAUGCAGAAUGAAUAGUGAUGCAUAUUGACGGUACCGGUGGAGGAAGCGCCGGCUAACUCCGUGCCAGCAGCCGCGGUAACACGGGGGGCGCAAGCGUUAUUCGGAAUUAUUGGGCGUAAAGGGCGCGUAGGCGGUUCUGUCGGUCAGAUGUGAAAGCCCGGGGCUCAACCCUGGAAGUGCAUUUGAAACAGCAGAACUUGAGUACGGGAGAGGAAAGCGGAAUUCCUGGUGUAGAGGUGAAAUUCGUAGAUAUCAGGAGGAACACCGAUGGCGAAGGCAGCUUUCUGGACCGAUACUGACGCUGAGGCGCGAAGGCGUGGGUAGCGAACGGGAUUAGAUACCCCGGUAGUCCACGCAGUAAACGAUGUUCACUAGGUGUAGCGGAUAUUAAAAUUUGCUGUGCCGCAGUCAACGCAUUAAGUGAACCGCCUGGGAAGUACGGUCGCAAGACUA
rnacentral:rRNA from 1 species